UCAUAUAAUGUAGCUCUUCUAGGAAAAAUCGUUCAAAAAUUUUGUUUCAGCAUGAAAAACUUAUUUUUGUAUCAAAAUAUCUGUUCCAGCAAAGAUCGUUUAAAAUUGUAGUUUUUGUUUGAAAUGUGAAGAGCGUAGAUCUUUCAAAAUUAUAAAAACUUAUACAUUUUCACCUUAUCAAAAUGUUAUCACCAAGUUCGGGAAAUAAAAACAUAUCAUAACUGCAAGCCCGUCUCAAAGCGAACUUCUAUAGAAACAGAGGUCGGCAAAGAAGUUUUGUGUAAAAGCAGUGAAGGGUAUUCAGUGUUCGGGGUGCCGUUCAAAGCAGCUCCCUCAAUGCUUUAUUUUUAUUUUUCACUUACAUGAAGGCAGCUGCUGCUGGAGGGAGCUGUUCGCAGAGCGCUAUCAAGACAGCAAACAAAACCAAUGCAGAGGAGCAUAACACAAGGCAGCCCAGGCAGAAUCAUCGCAUUCUGGCCAAAACCCAGCUACUGCGCCCGCCCCCGCCCUCACACUGCUGCCGCAGCCGCAACCCCAGCUCUGUCCCAGCAAGCCAAAGCGAGCGUGUUAACAGUCAGCAGCUUUAGAGCCAAAGGCGAAAAAGCUGCCCGCUAUUUCCUUGCCAACAUACAUUUUGCACAGCUGCUCUUAAUUAAAUGGAUAAACCUUAAAGGAUAAAACGGCUCAGAUAUUCACAUUGAAUAAAAGACUCUGUUCGCUCUCGUCUUCUGCUCUUAAAGUGCACACAUGACUGCAAAAUGCAUGCUCACUAAUUACAGUUGACAAACGUGUUGCCACAAAGUGUGGCAGCAACAACAGCAACAGAUUUAGAUUGUAUUUACAUGCAACGUCCUUGUGACCCACUGUCAAAAUAAGUUGCAAACAGAUACAACUUGCGAAAGCAAAUUUAAAGCAAAUUUCUGUUGCCACCCAAACACCAAAAUUAAAUGAAUUGCCAAAAAAAAAAAAUGGAACUGUGCACACGACAAAUGAAUACUCUAUAAAAAAACACACUCAAGAUAGAGCUACGAAUACCCUAAUGAAAAUAAAUAAAUAAAAUAUAACUUAUGAAGUGCCGAAAAAAAUGUCUG